CUUAUCAUAACAACUUCAACAGCUCCGACCCAACACAAGCAAAAUGAACCGGCCUACACACUUACCUAUUUUCCUUCCCCUUAACCUCAAAACAACCGACAACAGCAAUACAACUCUCAACACAGCAAUAUGAACGUAGCAACAACCAAACAACGCUGUACACUCAGCCAACAACGGCGUACAAACGCAAACAGCGACCAACCCAACGAGUCAACAAUCGUCCAAACUAGCCGUUUCUUUUUUUUACCCUUUUUGCCCUCAUUGGACGCUAUGUUCGUCUAAAAAUCAGACGACUUUCCUCGCCCUCAGUCUUUGGUUCACCAUUUUCGGUAACAAAUUAAUGUCCAACGUCUCUUUUGUUUUGUCCCACAGUGGAUUUUAAAAGUUAUCAAGAAAAUCAAUUCAAUUUCAGUUUUCAAAUCCGAAAAAACCUACUUCUUUCUCCUAUAAAUAGCUAUUGUGUGGGUUAGAGGUGAGAGGAGGAUUUUUUGGGGGGGAAAUUGAGGAUUUGGGAGGCGCGUGCUUCUAAUCCUACAUAAUCCAAAAGGUUCUCGAAGAAACAUACUCAAAAACUCAAUUCCGAUAAAUUCGAAUUGAAAUUCCGGUGGUGAAAACUUAUCGUGAUAGGCUCAUCGUCCUAGUUCGCUGCCCGGAUAAAGUUUUAAAGAGGUCAAAAUCAUUUUCUCGCCAAAUGAAGCCCAGAAGGGACAAAAUAAUGAUCACUGAAGACAAUCUAGUUGAAAAUCCAAAUGAAUGGUGGUUUGAUUCAGGAGCCACUAGACACCUUUGUGCGGACAAAAGAAUUUUUACUAUUUAUGAUAUCGCUGUUCGCGAAGAAGUGAUCUUCAUUAAAAAUAAUGCAACAACAAAGGUUGAAGGAAGUGAAAGAAUAUUUCUAAAGAUGAUUUGUGAUAAGGUUGUUGACUUUCAACAUUGUUCUUCAUGUUCCUACUAUUAGAAAGAACUUAGUGUUGACAACACUUCUCAUUAAAAUAAGUUUAAGUUUGUGUUUGUUUUAGAAAAAGUUGUAAUGAGCAAGAAUGAAAUGUAUGUAGAAAAAGUCUACCUCAAUGGGGGCCUUUCAAACUUGAUGUAAUGACUGUUACAAUGAAGAAAGCCGAGACUUCUUUUUA